AAUUUCUCAAUUCUCAUUUCUCAUCAUUUGGUUCAAAGUUAACCUUACUUCUGCAAUUUUUCCAUUCAAAGGUAUCUAUCGGCUUGAGCAAAUUAAAAAUCGAAUUUGGGUGACAUGAGGUGAAGAUCCAAUACUAAAUUUUUUUAGGCAGUACGUCCACAUAAAAUGAGAGAUCUCUGCCAUAUGUCACUCUACAGGAUUAGCGCUGGGGUUAUAAAGAGAAGUUCUAGACCACUUGAUAUUAGCCAGGUGAAGUAUUUCUUUCCACUGUUUGCUACAAAAAUAGGUUGCAUUAUCAGAUAGGAUACGUUUAGGCUUUCACACUUCAUUAGUCCAUCUACCUAAUGGGAAUGUUUACCUAUGGGAAAUAACAUUGUAUAUUUUGAAAAAAAUACAUGUAAGAACAAAUAUGUAUUUCUUUUCAUAUUGGGCCAUAGAUAAUGGACCGUAUAUAUCUGCUGAUAUUAAUUCUAAUGGUGCUCUAGGUAGAAUAGGAUUCAUUUCACCUCUGAUGUGAUAUUGUGCAUAUUUAGCUUUCUGGCAUAUAUUGCAAGCUUUUAUUAUUUUGGCCACCUUUUUAUGCAUGUUUUAAAAAUAACAACUUUCCUUCAGCAUGUGGAGGGUCUUCAUUGUUCCAAAAUGUCAGAUACGUUCGUGGGCCUCUUUUAUCAGAUCCAUUUCUAUACUUGGGGGAAUCAUUAUGCACCAGUUGUAAUUAUUUUUAGCCGGUCGGUGGAACAUAAAACCUUUGUAGUGGGUGUACUGUAGCAGGUAGUCAGGCAGUUCAGUAGCUCCUUCUUCCACCAAUUCACGGAUCCGGGACAGUUUUGCGUCUCCAUGUUGGGUGAUGCAGAUUUUCUCUGGGGUCAGGACGGCAGUAUGAUUACGUGGUUGGAUAUUGGGAGGGUAUGGUAUGCUUUCUUGAUCAUUUACGGCGAAAAACUUUAGGUUGAUAUCUUGACAGUAUGUGGGGUCUAUUUCUCUAGAUAGGAAGUCAGCAGUCUGAUUUUUCUUUCUUGGUGAAUGGGUCAAUUCGAUAUCUUACUCUUGAAGUGCAAGAAACCAUCUAGACAAGCGGUUGUGAUUUAACUUGGCAGUUUUAAAGAAGGUUAAGGCUUUGUGGUCUUUGUUGAUGAAUAUAUUAUUGCCGAGUAACAAUGUUUGGUACUUAGUGGAUACUUCAACAAUACUUAACAGUUCUUUCUCAGUUAUGGAAUAUUAACGCUGUGCUGAAUUGAGUGUUUUACUAAAAAAUGCCAACACUCCUUUCUCUCCUUGAUCGUCCUCUUGGAAAAUCUCUGCACCUAUCGCAUAAUCUGAGGCAUCGACAUUUAAGAAAAAAGGUUUCUUCAGGUUAGGGUGUUUUAGUACAACGGAAUUUAAGAUGCUUCUUUGAGUUGUUGAAAUAUGAGUUCUUCAUUAUCAGUCCAUCUCCAAGGUUUAGUGGUGGAUAAUAUGUGACUGAGUUGGGCAGUGUAGUGGGACAUUUGUUUGUUAAAAUGGCGGUAGAACUGUAGAAAACCAAUUAAUUUUUGUAGUUAUUUGCAGUUGAUCGGUGAUGGAAAAUGUUGGAUAGCUUCUAAUUUAUUUGGGUCCUGUGAUAUGCCAGUGGGUGUAAUUAUAUGUCCUAGAUAUUUAACUCCACUUACAAAAAAUUCACACUUUGAUAGCUUCAAUUUCAGUCCACAGUUAAUCAAUCUACUAAAUACUGUAUCCAGAUGCUGGCAAUGGUCGAGGAUAUUUUGUGAGGCUAUCAAUCCAUCGUCCACAUAUAGCAUGCAAUAGUCUCCAAUAUUGUCUCCUAAUGCGAUUGAGAUUCCUCGUGUGAUUUAGAUUUGGUAAAAGUGUGAAAUUUUAAUGUUUGAAAAUUUAAGCAGGCAUGGAAAUGUUGGAGAAAAUCUUGCCUAUUAUUAAGGGUGGACUGGAUACAGGUAAUACAAGAAACGUAUAAGCGAAUUGUUGUUGUUGAAGGCCCAUUUCCAGUAAACAUUGGGUGGUUAUAUGUAUUUGUCAUCCUGGAAUGAUGCCUGAUACACAUACAUUUGUUAGCGGUAGAGUAGCUAAUUUUGUUUUCUCUUUUAUAUGCUGAAAGACAUCCGCUUGUAUAAGACUGCAUUGUGAACUACUAUCUACUAAUGCUUGAACCUUCAAUCCAUAUAACUCGAUAUCAAUAUAUGCUUGCAUCUGUGUGUCGGGCAUCCUGUGUUCUCAUUCUGGUUCUUCUAAUAAUAUUUCCGGUAAAUCGUUCACAAAGGUGGUAUAUGAGGCUGAGGUAUCUUUAUUUUCUUUAUCUAUUUUUUCUGAGCUUAUGUGGGUUGUAUUGGAGGUAGUUAUCAAUUAUUAUAGUCAUAAUUGUUUAGAUGUAGUCUUCUCUGUGUUUGGUGGUGUGUUAUCUGGUGUUGAUUCCUGUGUUUUCUGUUGAUUUAAUUGGGCCACAUGCUCCAUUGUAUAAAUUUGUACUUAUUUGUUGUGGUGGCGGUUUAUAGUUUCUGUUGUAAUUAUUAUGGGCAUAUCCGGUAUUAGCAUUCAAAUGAUCAUGGCCAUCAUAAUAAUUUCUUCGGUUUGCUUGUUGUGAAUAAUGGUUUGUUGAACGAUUCUGAAAAUUUCCAUUAUUCCUGUUAUUACUCUGAUUCUGGUCAUUGCAACACUCAAAACGAGGUGUCAUUCGGGAACGAUCAUAUGGUACCGAUUCAUAAGCUUGGCUGGCAUACUGAUUAACAUUUGAAUUAUAUUGAUUUUGUGUAUAUGACUGAUCUGACUGGUGAUUUGGUAUUGCCAUCACAGAUUGUAUACUGUAUAAAUGGUUUAUCAGAUGUUUACAACCAGUUAUUGGCUGGGUGGCGAGUGCCAUUCUGACUCGGAAGGGUAGUUUUUUCAAGAUUAUGUUUGAUAAAGCAGAAUCAUUAAUCGGCUCCUCUAGCUGAGAAUUUUUUAAAUUGUAGGGCAGUGACAGAAGUGGUAUAUCCACCAUCUAAAUUGGGGUUGAAAUCGCAUGAUAUGAUAUCUGCUAGUGCGUCCAACUGUUUACUUCUGCUCCAAUAUUGUUCUAGGAAGACAGCAAUAAACUCAUCCAAUGAUGCAAAUUCAUGAGCUCUACUCUGAAAAAACAACAGGGGUUCGCCACUCAGCAAGCUGGUUAAGCAGAGCUGCCACAUAUUCCAAGAGAUGUGACUCUGACUCCUGGGACGCUGGAUCUGUGGGCUCCUCUUCGCCCCCUCGACGUUGAUAUCUGCUACCCCAGUGUUCAGCAGUGCAUUAGCGGCCUCAACCUGAGUGGACGACAGAUGUUGCAGACCUUGAGGAUCGAAAACUAUCAAUUUGAUGCUUUCGGGUUCCCUCUCUCAUGGUGUAUUGACAUCGUCCAUUGUGGGAUUUGAUGUGCUGGGAGUCGACAAAGUGGGAUCUGGACAACUGCCAUUCAUAUAUGAAACUUUAGAAUUUGCGGGAGUGUAGUUAAUGUUACUACUGAGUGUUAAAUGCAAUUUGAACAAGUGAGAAAUUUUAUGCAAUGAGGCCUUUAUAAUGGUCGACAAGAUAGAAUUUACAAAUAUGGAUAUGUGCUGUGUGUUUCCAGCCACGGACUAUGUCAGGUAUUUAUUAAUUUAACUUGUAUUUAGUUUUAUGUCUUAUUUAGAUCUGUCAGUUUGCUCUGUAUGCCAGUAUUUAUAGCUAUACGGCCUUCCUUUACAAAUAAUACUAUCUCAAAUGGGAUCAAAAGUCAAUUUCCGACUAGCUUAUUGAUUGUAGCCUAUAAUAUUUUCAAGCUGGCUUAUAUUUAAAUUAUUAGUGACUUGAUAAAAUUCAGCAAUUCAGGCCCAUAAAAUCUCUAAAAUAUAGUUUCAAAAAUAAUAAGAUUUAUAAAAAUAAUUUCUCCUUUGCUUAAAGCUAUUGAUUCCCAAAAAAGGUUUUUUACAUUGCUUGCGGUCACAAGUAAAUUCUCAUUGCUCAUCAUCCAUUCACAACAAAUCUCAAUCUGUAUCGACUUGUCUAUAAUUAUCAGCGAUAUACAGCCCUGAUUUACUCUCAAUAAUGAUUUUAUGAGCUCUGUUCUCAUCACCAGUCCCACGUUGGAUAAGCCAUGAUUAUGUCAUGCUAUUUUUUUUUCAAUAACGAGUUGCCCUGCUUGGCUGCAGUUGGUAGAGCAUGAAUAACAAGAUAUAUAAUCCUUAUUGUGGUUCUUAGAAUAAUAAUAAUACCAAUUUCUUACUGGCUCGCCCAGGAGUUCCCGCAGUUCUCUGUUCUUGCUGGUUACUGAUGUUGGCUGCUCCAACAGUCCACAAUUUCUGUGACUGAUUUGUUCAAUUCCGCAAAUACAGAUGCAAGAAUUUAUGCUGCUGCAACUUAAUACUAUCAGUAAGUCGAAGCAACUUUAUCUGUUUAUGAUUAAUCACCUCAUCUAGAUCUUUUGCAAACAAUGUCAGAGUUUUGAUGAAGUGUUUUGCUGCAUCAGGUCCUCUAUAGAUGAUUGGUUCCUGAGGGAUGAUGUCAGUGAUUGUCAGCCAUGAUGGUAAUAGGUUCUUUUCUCUGACAAAGUAGAGGCAAUAACUCAUUGCUGUGUGAUGCUGAAUCACUUUAGUUGUCUUACCAAUCCAUUGCCAGUCUUCCUCGGGCUUCUCCAGUAGACAUUCAAAAUCUGCAUAGGCUAACAAUGGUAGCUUAAAUCAUUCAAAAGUUUCUCGAAUUUCAUUGUUGGUGGGCUCCAUCCUCCUUUAGUUGAGGAAUGAUGAUUCUAGCAGUCUGGUUGUUGGCACAGUACUCCUUGUGAUCUUUCAUCAUCUGUUCCCCAUUAUUGUUGGAGGUAUAGUGUAUAAAGCACUGGCAACAAAUGAUGAUGUGGUGCUUGUUUUUAGUGAACUGAGAACUUACAAGUUUCUCAAAGUUUUUUAUGAAACAGUAAUGGCUGUUGAGAUGUCCCUCUUCUCCAUGAGUGGUGAUGGUGGCUUCACUGAUGUCCGAGUGGUGAUAGCUUCACUGCUGUCCUUAGUGGUGGUGGCUUCACUACCAUCAUUGUCAUGGAGGAGUAGUGAAUCAAAAUGAUCCUCCUUCAUUUCUUUCACAACAUGUCUUGGAUAGAUUAUACACUUGGAAUGUACCCCAUAUAUAUCCAUUGUUACCCCUGUAUUAUCCCUCUCAAAACGGUCGAUUUGAUUAAUUGUGGUGGGGAAAGAUAUUCCAUUGAAAUUGUAUUUCCAAUGAACUGAUUAAACCUAUUGUUAACACGUUCAGGAUGUGCUCCUUGCACAUGUUUGGCAAGGAUAGCGCACUUAAAACAUUGUUGAUCACUAUUCUUCGGGUUGAUGAUGGCUUUCUUGCUGCUAUUUUGGCUGGCUGUUCAAUGUAGGAAGAUCCUCGAAGUGGUUUGUGCUUGCUUAUGUGGAUGAGGUGACCGUUGAUGAUGAGGAGGCUACAUCUGCUAGAGUUGCCCUCGAACUUGGCCUCUUCCUCCAACAGCUUCUUGCAUGCCUCCCUGAUAAUUUCAGCUAGAUCGUUGACAUUGGAGAUUGAUUAGUUUGGAAUCUUGAAGGCUUCAUUCGGGAAUUCUUCCUGCUCGAUGUUCUUCUCAUCAAGGUGGCUGCAUUGGUAUGUAGCCUCCAACACUAGGUUGACCUUGAUUGGCCCGUGUGUUUGAAACUCCUGGCCUAUUACAUUGAUGAUGAUUUUUGACUGCAAGUUGUUUAGCAUAAAGUGGAAGUCCUUUGCUGGAUUGGGUGAAGAAAUGUUGUUGUACAACAGUGUCUGAAGGUUGUUGUUGAAUGUCUCCUCUAAUGUACAAAAUCUUCUGUCGAGCUGCUGGUCUGCUGACAUCUGGUAGCUUUGUUCAUGUGUAAUAUACCUAUGAGCAGAUUGAUAAUAAAGCGCAAUGUAGGCGGCAGUCAUCUAGAGUGAUAUGGCCAUCUUGAAUGACAUGUCUUGCACUUGAUCUAGAUGUUCAGCACACAAUUACUACUAUAUAUAUGCUACUGAGAAUCAAUCAUAUAUAUUACAUAGGAUGUUGGAAUGUUCAGAAAGAACAAUGCCUGAAAUCGAUAUUUUGGGGUUAGGUUAGGUUGGCAGAAGUUACUAGUAACUUUUGCAGACCUAACCUAACCACAGUUCAUUGUCUACAAUCAUAUGGAUCUGCUGACAUAUUGUUUACAGAGCUCAACAGACAGAAAUACAAUAAAUUACAAAAUAUGUUAUGCAAUACAUUAUGAGGUAGCAACACUAAACAGAGUAAAUAGUGCCAUACAAAAAUCAUUAAAAUCAGCUGACAUAUUGUUCAUAGAUCUCAACAGGCAGAAAGGCAAUUAUUCACAAAAUAUGCUAUGCAAUACAUUAUGUGGUAGCAAAACUGAACAAAAAUUAGCCAUAUAAAUCAAUACAGCUUCAUCUUUAUGAGCAGAAUAAGACAAAUUUCUCUAUCUCUUUUCAAAACAUACAAUAAAAACCACUUGUGUACUAUUUUUCACACAAUUGAAGAUCGAAAAUGAUAAGUGGCAGUGGUGUGGCGGUGUCCUAGAAUACUUCACAAAAUGAUGUUGGCUAGCACCGCACUGUCUAAAACACUGGAUUCUAUACUGAACACUAAUAACUGAACAGGUGUACCACACUAAUAACCUGUGUCUUGUGUGACUUGUCUGGACACUGAUGACCCUGCACAAGUGUCUGCACUAUUUAUACACUUCUCAGAGGGUGGAGAGUCUUCAGAUUUUUUCCUAUAUUAUGUUUAUUAAUUUUGUUUUAUUUUAAAUUAAAAAAAAUUUAAUGUAUAUCUUUUUUUUACCUUGACCUUUGACUCUAUGGGACUUCUGGCGCAGGUUGACCUUUGACCUUUGACCCUAUGGGAAGUCUGGUAGAGGUUGACCUUGACCUUGUCCCAUGAAUGGCAAGAUAUAUCUACUCCAGGUCAUCACCGGUGGGUGUGGGGGGUACGGAUUACUGCCCACCAAAGGGUGGUCUGGGGGUUCUCCCCCGGAAAAUUUUAAAAAUAUACCUUCAAUUUGGUGCAAUUUUAUGCAAUUUCCACAUGAAAAGAAAUGUUCCAUUCAAGUCUUUCUGGUGAACAAUAGGCCACUUAUUGUUCCAAUUUUCCCUUGAAAUUGAAUAGACCUAUUGGUUUUUGAUUAAAUAACAAAUAGAAUGGAAUGGAGUAGAAUUUUAUUUGUCAUUCAAUUGUUUGAAAAAAUAUUGAUUUUGUAGAGGGCCUAUACUCAUUCAAACUUAUCCAAACUUACAUUGUUUGGGGGGGGGGAUAAACCAUUUUUCUUUCUAAAUAUUAGAGGGAUGUGACCCUCCUGUCCAUGCUAGAAACUAUGUAAUCAAAACUGUGAAAUUUUCUGGGGUACUCUCUAACAGCUUUGUUUAAGGAUAUGCAUGAAACUGAAUAAACUAGAACAAUAUGAGCUAUAUUGAAUCCCUUCAUAAUAGUAGAUUGUAAAGAAUGAUCUAACUUUGGAGUUAUUACUUAUUAUAUUCCUCGACUUACAUAGUACAAUAUAACGAAAAUAUGGUAUUAGAUGCUAAUUUGUGUGGCUGAUCCAGCCACAAGAAGAUGCAGGUUCAAUUUUACAAUCCAGUAUGCCGCUUCUUUGCUAGAGGAACUCAAAGUGGAAAAAUGAGGGCUUUUGAACUUCUGUACAGGUACAGUCAUUGAGUCAUAUAU